UACGGAGGAUCCAAGCGUUAUCCGGAAUCAUUGGGUUUAAAGGGUCCGUAGGCGGUUUUAUAAGUCAGUGGUGAAAUCCGGCAGCUCAACUGUCGAACUGCCAUUGAUACUGUAGAACUUGAAUUAUUGUGAAGUAACUAGAAUAUGUAGUGUAGCGGUGAAAUGCUUAGAGAUUACAUGGAAUACCAAUUGCGAAGGCA
rnacentral:rRNA from 1 species